CGCAACGGCCGACGCGGCCCGGCAUUUUUCUCUAAAUCGGCAGUAAAUACAGCUGAGUAAAAUUAGCUUGGUUUUCUUCCUUCUUUUGUAACUGAACUGUUUUUAUUAAAAAUUCUAUUUGAAUAUGUAGAAAAAGUGGGGAUGUCCUGUAAUAUAUCGUAGCUUUUCUUGUUUACAGGGUGCUCAGAAAGCAUGCGUCCCUUAGAGUCCCACAGAAAGGUUCUCAGUGCGCUCUCUAUCAAGAGGCUCUAGGAAGGAUUCAUGUUGUAACUGCUGUCACUGCAAUCAGUUGGUGGUUCAGCCUUGAAACGUGCACUUGGCCUUCUAUAAAGCGCUGUUUUGUUUGCCUUUCAUUGCUAUGAGUCUUGAUAAAUUGGAGAAGAGCCCAAGAGAAAUUUUUCAUCCCUUGAUAUAAAAGGGAUCGGUGAAUUUUAACUUUGGAGUCCUCUAUGCUAAGGAUGCUCAGCUUACAGAUGAUGAAAUGUUCAGUAAUGGUGAGUUUUUCACGUUCUCUUUAAUUGCUGUGCUGAUCUGAAUAAGAAAAAAACAAAAGCAAGAGGGAAAAAAAAGGAUGGUUUAUUAUUUUUUACGCUGUUAUGUUUGUUUCCUCAGUAUUUGCUGCAGCUCUGCUUACCCAAGCUUUGUGUUCCUUCUGUCCCACUGGGAGUUGCCCAGUUUGGUUGCAUCUGGUGAAAUUCACCCUGAGACCUUACACAACUAGCUCAAACUACGUGAGAGCCAUUUGCAGUUCUCUCCAGACACCUGGAGAAUGGGUGACGUUUCUGAGGGUCUGGCAAGUGUACUUCUAUCAAAACUCAGUCUGUGAAGUUUCUGGGGAAAACCCUUCUGUGUCCUGAAGGGUUCAAACUCCUGUGAGGAUCCAUUUAUCAGGUGCUCACCUGGAUGGUUCCAGCUCUUAAAGUGAACACUUGUACUCUUACCCUGUAGUUUACAUCUAUUGUAUUUUUGUUAUUUUGCAAGAUUUUUUGUCUUUGCAAAAUAUUGUGCAUUUCACUCUUUGGAACCUCUCAGAUGGUUCUUUGGUGCAGCACCACCCCAUGGGACACUUGGCUGCUGUCCUGAAGGGGAUGGUCACUAGAAUUGUAAAUUCUGGAGAGUUUAUAAGUCUUCUGUCCCCAGGGAGGUACCAUGCUUUGUUUACUUUUGUUCUGUUUGUUAGGCGCUGCUUCUCGUUGCAAGUAUGAAUUUCAAACUGCCCUGUUCUUAUUUUAACUGUUUUCCUGGUUCUCUCCGUCCGACAGGGAAAGACUCUCAUAUCCUCGUCGUCGGGCUCGGUGCUGUCCAAGAAGAUACAGAGACUAAAAAAAUCAUAAGCAGCAAAAUAUGACUGCAGGGAAAAGAAGCUGGAGAGAACAGAAUGUGAUAUUGUUAUCCUUACCCUGUAUUAGAAACAUCCGCUGUGCCUUGAUGCUGGCAGCUGCCAGGGGCUUGUUAGCUCUUUGUAGGCAGGUGUAGGUGUUCACUUGUAGGUUUUUUCUCUGGACAAGUCAAUUCAAACUUUGCUAAGCUUAUAUAUGCAAAUUACUCUCUAGCACAGUCCAGCAUGACAUUUUUGAAUGUUGUAAAAAUACCAUGUUACUUGGAAAUUGCUAAUGAUGAGAAGCUUUAGGGGAAAAUAAGAUGUCAGUGUUGGGAGAUGUGAGAAGAAUUUUGAGGGGAUGUUAGACUGAAAUAAAGCACACUUGAAGCUGGACUGGCAUGCUGGCAGAUCCCCUAUUAAACAGUAGUGCUGAGAUUAGCCUGGGGGUUGCCCAUUGUUUCUGUAGAAAUAAAUGUUUUCUGGUCUUCAGAAGUAAGCUGCUUUGAAAAGCUGGAAGGCGCAGCAUAGUGACAAUCCGUGUGCUUCGCAUUAAAAAUAGAUUUCAGAAGGGUCCUAGGCUUUUGUCUUUUCCUAGAAGUCGAUGUAAUCCUGUCGAGGAGUUUUUAAUUCUGUGCUGCCAUGUCAUCAAUCAGGGCCCUGUCGUACUAAUCAUCAUACAGAUGCAAAACAAAAAAUCAGACCCCGUCCCAAGCACUUAGAGCCCAGAAUACGAUUUCCUCAGGCUGCCAUUUGUGUGCCAUCGGUACUCACCAUGGAAGCGAGCUGGGGAUUGUUGCACCCGUUGGGAACAAACCGCUUCUUGUCACACAGAAAUGGAAUUGGGACGACGCCUCGGCCAGCCCCUCUGUGCCAUCGUCUCCUGAAUCUGCAGCAGAGCAGUUCCAGUCCAUCCGGGCACGUGCAAUCCAGUUCCUGAUGAUCUGAGCACACGGAGCAGUGCUCAGCUGCUGUGGGGGGCUCAGGGAAGGCAGAGUGUGCAUUGUCAUCUUCCUGAACCUACAGACAAAUCAAAGUGAGAAGCCACAGGGUGGAAAUCAGUUGCAUAUAUGCUAAACAAAACUUGCAGGUUGUUUUUAAGAAUUGUUUUUGCUUGUUCUUUGUUGUGCUUCUGUGCUUAGAAAACCUCCCUUUAAAAUCAGUUCAGUUCAUCAGUUGAACCUUUGUUUGCAGACCCUCAGUGAGCAGAAUUUGUUGCAGACUCAGUGCACGCUGUGCCGGCCUCCCGGGAGUGUGAGGAGCUCAUGUGUGCUACUUUUUGCUUUAGGACGCUCUGAGGUAUUUAUUCCUUUUGGGAUACGUGAUGAGAAUUCCCAAGAGAGGUAGUUAUAAGGUAUGACAUUGGGAAAAAGCCUGUGUGGUUGGAAUGUUGUUGCUGUCAAAAGUUAAUUUUUCCUUCAUUCUUAGCCAGUAGUUAGCUUUUUGCUUUAUUUUUGUGGUAUCAGUAUUUUAUUGUUUAAAAAAUUCCUUCAAAAUAACUUCAGUGGUCGCCCACCAGUACCUUGUUCAGAUUUGCCUAUUUGCUUGUAGCUGAAAUGUUCACAUCUUGAUUAUCAUUCUAUUUAAGAAACUGCUGCCCAGCCAACUAAUAACUGAAUAUCCAUCUGUCUAGGACACGGGGAGAGGAUUUAGGUAAUGUCUUUGUUUCCAGAAAAAAGUUCCAGUGUACUUUCUAAACAGAGGAGAAGGGGGUGAAGACUCUGGGCUCUGAUGCCGUUGGGGCACCCCAAGGUCCCCAGGAGAGGGAGCCCCACUGCGGUGCAGGAGCAGGUGUGUUCUCAUCUAAUAUUGAACAAAUUAUAAAUAUGAAAAUUAUAAACAUGAAAAUAUUUUUAAAAUACUUAAAUAAAGCAGGUUUUCUUUAUUGGUCAAUAGGCAGGGUUUUGAUUGUAAAAAUUAUAAAUACAAAUAAUAUAAAGGUAGAAAUCUAAGUUUAGAAAUAUAUAAUAAAUACAUACAGAUAAAUAUAAAAAUUAAAAAUAUAAGAAAAAAUUAGU